rnacentral:sRNA from 1 species
UGACAUUUUGUUUGUAGGCGCUCAAAAGUACGAAACUAUAUUUGUGUUUUUGCGGUUUCCCUUUGUAUUUGUGCACUGCACACAUCAACACACCAACACACACACACAUACACUGGAACACUGACAGACUGCCAUUGAGUAGAGUCAAAUGCAUGUGCAGAACAUUCCACAUCAUGUCAAGCGGAACGCCCUUUACUAUAGAGCAGGUUGGGAAAUCAAUUCAGACUUAAAUCAAAACAAUAUUUAGAUCAUCUCGCAUCUAUGUAACAAAGUAUGUUUUGAUACGAAGAGUUUUAGCACAACUGAUUGAAAGUGCCACGAAGAAAAGAAGAGAUGUGUGUAUAUCUGCUUAUGGAAAAUAAUCUCAGCCUACAAUAGUGGGCGAAGAAGGAAUUGUCAUAGUCUCAAACCUUGGACAACGUACACAUCAUGCAACUAGUCAUAGUGUCCGUUUAAAUAUAACGCGCCAUUUGAAGCCGAAGUUGUUAAUCAACCCGGCUUCUAUACUAUUUUAAGCUAUGUAUAAGAUCUUUUUCGUUCGUGAUUAGACAAUUGAACCAGAUAAGCGCUGUGCACUGAACGUGAAAUGAUAAAACGAUUUUAAAAUCUUCUGCAUGGCAUAUUGAAUUAGUCAGAUUGUUCAAAACCGCAUUGGAUACAAUGCAUUCCGAUGACCAGAGCAGACAAAAGACCCGAUCCAUGGAGGCCAUGGAAGACAAUUCCAUUCUCCAACUAUCAAUGAAAUCCCAGUAGUAUUUGUUGACGAGAAUGUGAAAUCUCGCGAUAUUGUUCUCAGGUGCCUCGAGAUGGUGGACAAUUGAAACGCGUGUACGAGAUUCUUCGGUUGUAUCGUGUUGUGGAGAGGAUGGAUAUCACUUCAAUAUAAAGAUGGUCAAUCCAACGGCAGCUCUGGAGUUGUUGCUCUGAAUUGCUGCGAAAGAAUUAAAAGAUUGCCUUAAGCAAAUCUA